rnacentral:rRNA from 1 species
GACGAACGCUGGCGGCGUGCUUAACACAUGCAAGUCGAACGGUGAAGGGGAGCUUGCUCCCUGGAUCAGUGGCGAACGGGUGAGUAACACGUGGGCAACCUGCCCCAGACUUCGGGAUAACGCUUCGAAAGGAGUGCUAAUACCGGAUACGAACUCCUUGGGCAUCCUUGGAGUUGGAAAGUUUUUCGGUCUGGGAUGGGCCCGCGGCCUAUCAGCUUGUUGGUGAGGUAACGGCUCACCAAGGCGACGACGGGUAGCCGGCCUGAGAGGGCGACCGGCCACACGGGGACUGAGACACGGCCCAGACUCCUACGGGAGGCAGCAGUGGGGAAUAUUGCGCAAUGGGCGAAAGCCUGACGCAGCAACGCCGCGUGAGGGAUGACGGCCUUCGGGUUGUAAACCUCUUUCAGCAGGGAAGAAGCGAGAGUGACGGUACCUGCAGAAGAAGCACCGGCUAACUACGUGCCAGCCGCCGGAGUAAAAC